rnacentral:lncRNA from 1 species
UUAUCUAAAAAUUCUCAAGAACCAAACACAUGAUCUUCAACCAAGAAUUCAAGAUCGAUAAAAAUUCAACCGCAGGAAUUCAAAAAUAAUUUAAGAAUCAUAUCUCCAAGUUGAGAUCUUCAAAAAGCACCUAUGAUUUUACGAUUAGAGUUCCGGAAUCGCAAGUUCAUCCAAAGUCAAAAAUUUCAGGUAUGUGGGGAUUGAACAAGGACAAAUCUUUCAUUCUUGUGCCCAAAAUUUGCAUUACUUUCUGAAGAUACAUGAUUUUACAUGUUUUAUUAUGAAUUUGAGAUAGAAACUUAUAUUGUAUAUUCUUGUUCAAGAAACUAUGAUAUUUUUAGAUGUCUUGAAGAUAAAUUCCAUGAGAUUUGAUGUUAAUAUCAUGUUUAAAGCUGAAUUUUCAGAUUUUCAUAUGAGUUAUAAAUGUUUACUUCAUAAAGUGUGAAUCUUGAAAUGUUUUGCUCAAGUAUUGAUAUUGUGAAUCUUGAAAUAUUUUGCUCAAAUAUUGAUAUAUGGGUUAUUAAACCUUCUUUGAGAUUGAGGUUUUGAGCAUUUGAGAAACUAAAGUCAUGAUUCAUGGAAUUAUCAAUGAUUUGAAUACUUGAAGACAUGAUAAUUUAUCUUGUUAUGAUUUGAGUUGAGAUAUAUAUAUAUAUAUUUAUAUAUAUUUCAAUUUAUAUUUUCUAUUGAGAAUUGAUGUUGUUAAAUAAUUAUAUAUAGAGUAUUGGAAAAGAAAUUAUGUUAUGAAAUGUUGAAAUAUUGAAAUUUUGAUCUUUAUGCUAUAAAUUAGUUUUCAAUAUUUUGAUUGAGAUUAAUUGAAGAUUUGAGAUAAUUAUUGAGUAUUAAAUUUGGAUAUAAUUUUGAUGUAUUAAUAUUGUAUAUUUUGGGUCCUAAAUAUAUGUGAUAAAAUUAUACGGAGUUUUGAUCUCGAGACAUUGAUAAGAAUUUUAUAAAUAUUUUGAAAGGUAAAAAUUGUCGUUUUGAUAUUGAGUUGAGACAAGAAAUCUAUAAUUGAUUGAUUGAUGAUGAGAGGAUAGCAUAUUGGCUCCCAAUUGGCUCCCAAUAUGAAUUAUUGGAUUUGAUUAUGAUAUGAUCCUGAGGCUGAUUUUAAAAGUUCUGAGCUAUGUUCGGGAGUAGUAUUUAGCAUCUAUCGUGAAGUGUGUUACUUCUCUAGAACUACGUGCCCCCAUAGGAUAUGAGCCUGAGGUUGAUAUAUAGUGAUCACUAGUUUUUGAAUUGAUAAUUAAGGUCCUACUCCGAUGGAAAGGAUAGGACAGCUCUCCCCAACAUGGGUUGGACAUUGGAAUCCAUGUAGCUCAUAUGGUUUAUGUCGCUUAUAAGAAACUCCCAUGGUGAGUGUGUGUGUCUUCUCUAUCUAAGAUAAGUGUGUAUGGUUUGAAAACUACGAUUUGUGAGAAAUCUCCUUAUUUCUGAAAGAUUGAAAUGCUAUGUUCUAAAGAGAGUUGUUUUAAGACUUGAUUACUUUACAAGUUGAAACCGAGAAGAAAGUGAAUUUGGAACUUACUAUAAUGACUCACAUGAUUUAUUUUACAUGUAUUAUUCAUCCAUGACAUUGAUGAUUUAAUUCAAGCUAAGUGAGUCAUUUAUAUCAGAGCAUGCAUGUCUACUAUAAAAAAUUUUGAUAUUUUAUUAUUGAAAUUGCAUACACCCCCAUAUACUCGGUAUAUUUCUGUGGUACUGACCCACUUAUGCGUAUGUGGGCUACAUUUUAUCAUGAUAUAGAUACAAUUAUAGUGCAUAUACUAUAAUCAGUCAAUUCGCAGCUUCUGGCCAAUAGGUGAUGAGUCCUUUUUAUUCAAGGACUUGAGUUAUUUAUACAGUUCGAGAAUAUGUCGUAUUUCCUUUAUUCAGUCGUAUUGAGUUGGGAUAGUUGGGAGUCAUGAACCGACUAACUAUAGUCAGUACUAGUAGAGGCUUCAUAGAUAGUCAGUAGAAGUUGAUGUAUUCACUUUCAGUUUGUUGGAAAAAGCAGAGUUGUAAUUUCUAAAUUCGUAAAAGAGUUAUAUUCCGCAUUAUUCUUUUAGAUUUAUGCAUUUUAUUCAGUUGCUUAUGAGUUAUACCAGCAGGAGAGUUAUCUUGGGGUCACUUGUGACCCUAAGCACUGUGUGACGUCUCAAGAGCCGUUUUUGGGGUGUUACAAAAUAGCUUCCUUCUUAAUUAAUCAAACACUUUUUUCAACACCCUAAAUGUCAAAAUCCCCAAAUUUUCAAUUCAUAAAUUAUUUAACUAAUUAAGAAGGAAGGUAUUUGAUCAUUUAUUUGACCAAAUUUUUUGAAUUUUCACUUAUUUGAUUUGCUGAAAUUUGAGAACAGAAUCAAUUUUUUCUUCAUAUUUUUGUAGUUUUUGCAGGUUGAGUUUUUCGAAAAUUGACCAUGGACAUGGCUAUUGUUGAGGAGUUUAAAAGUUGGUGGCCAUGGUAAUUGUUUAGGGGGC